CUCAGGACGAACGCUGGCGGCGUGCCUAACACAUGCUAGUCGAACGGGGUAAUUACUUCGGUGAUUACUUAGUGGCGAACGGGUGAGUAACGCGUGAGAAACCUGCCUUUCAGCGGGGGACAACAGUUGGAAACGACUGCUAAUACCGCAUAAUGUUAUUUGAGGGCAUCCCUGAAUAACCAAAGCUUAAUGUGCUGAAAGAUGGUCUCGCGUCUGAUUAGCUAGAUGGCGGGGUAACGGCCCACCAUGGCGACGAUCAGUAGCCGGUCUGAGAGGAUGAACGGCCACAUUGGGACUGAGAUACGGCCCAGACUCCUACGGGAGGCAGCAGUGGGGAAUAUUGGGCAAUGGGGGAAACCCUGACCCAGCAACGCCGCGUGAAGGAAGAAGGCCCUCGGGUUGUAAACUUCUUUUACCAGGGACGAAGAACGUGACGGUACCUGGAGAAAAAGCAACGGCUAACUACGUGCCAGCAGCCGCGGUAAUACGUAGGUUGCAAGCGUUGUCCGGAUUUACUGGGUGUAAAGGGCGUGUAGGCGGAGAUGCAAGUUGGGAGUGAAAUCCCGGGGCUCAACCCCGGAACUGCUUUCAAAACUGUAUCCCUUGAGUGUCGGAGAGGCAAGCGGAAUUCCUAGUGUAGCGGUGAAAUGCGUAGAUAUUAGGAGGAACACCAGUGGCGAAGGCGGCUUGCUGGACGAUAACUGACGCUGAGGCGCGAAAGCGUGGGGAGCAAACAGGAUUAGACACCCUGGUAGUCCACGCUGUAAACGAUGAACACUAGGUGUUUGACCAAGAGGUUGGGUGCCAAAGCAAACGUGAUAAGUGUACCGCCUGGGAAGUAUGCCCGCAAGGGUGAAACUCAAAGGAAUUGACGGGGGCCCGCACAAGCAGUGGAUUAUGUGGUUUAAUUCGACGCAACGCGAAGAACCUUACCAGGGUUUGACAUCCAACUAACGAAGUAGAGAUACAUUAGGUGCCCUUCGGGGAAAGUUGAGACAGGUGGUGCAUGGUUGUCGUCAGCUCGUGUCGUGAGAUGUUGGGUUAAGUCCCGCAACGAGCGCAACCCCUAUUGUUAGUUGCUACGCAAGAGCACUCUAGCGAGACUGCCGUUGACAAAACGGAGGAAGGCGGGGACGACGUCAAAUCAUCAUGCCCCUUAUAUCCUGGGCUACACACGUAAUACAAUGGUGGUAAACAGAGGGAAGCAAUGCAGUGAUGUGGAGCAAAUCCCUAAAAGCCAUCUCAGUUCGGAUUGCAGGCUGCAACUCGCCUGCAUGAAGCUGGAAUUGCUAGUAAUCGCGGAUCAGCAUGCCGCGGUGAAUAC
rnacentral:rRNA from 1 species